rnacentral:tRNA from 1 species
GGAUGGGUACCCAAGUGGCCAAAGGGGCCUGGCUGUAAACCAGGUGGCUCUGCCUUCGGGGGUUCGAAUCCCUCCCCAUCCA